GCAUGUUCUCAAAGAAAGAUAUGUAAAGAAAUGUGGAAAAGACAUUUGUGGAUCAGAAUUGUACACGUUAGUAGUUUCAUUUUGCUCAAAACACAAUAUCUUUUCAAAAAUAAUUACAAGAUAGGUUUACUAAAGCAAAAUCCGCGCUAAAAACGUCAAUAAAUAUCGGCUGUUGUGAUUUUGCUGUUACUCGUAAUGAGCGUCAAGAUGGUGCCAUAUUGGGGUAAAGGUGGUAUAUUGUGAUUGUCAUAUCUUCUUAACGAGUUCGGUGACCCCGACUUUUUUGUGUGAUUUACUUUAAG